CUUUCCUUAUAAGGACACCGGUAAUAUAGGAUUAGUACCCACCCUAAUGACCUCAUUUUAAUUUGAUUUUCUCUGUAAAGACCUUAUCUCCAAAUAAGGUCCCACCCUAAGGUACUGGGGGUUAGGACUUGAGCAUAAAAAAUUUAAGGACACAAUCCAACUCAUAACACUUCUUAAUUAACUCAAAGCAGAAACCAUGAAGAAAAAGUUCUCCUCUUAUUUGGGGAAUGGAUUUCAGAAGAGACCAGAAGAUGUUCUCGUGUUCUCACCACAGGGAAGGCAGAAGCACAGAGCCCCACAGGCUAAGAAAAUGAGAGCAUUGGCAACCCGUAUGGCCCAAGACACAUGCAAAAGCAAGUCCCAGGUGCCUCCUUCACAUGAUGCUGGCCUCAAAGACCCCAUGAAGAGCAAAAAGCAGCCACUCUCUCAAAAUAACAGAACUGCCUGCUUCAUAAAAGAGCAACCACAAGCCCAAGAGAAAGAUUCUGUGAAUCCAUCUAAGGACGUAGACCCCAGCAAGGGCAUCUCUGUUCCAUGCCAAAAUCAAGAGGUUUCCACCAACACCAUAGAACAAGGUCCUAGUUCC
rnacentral:lncRNA from 1 species